UGGGGAAUAUUGGACAAUGGGCGCAAGCCUGAUCCAGCCAUGCCGCGUGAGUGAUGAAGGCCCUAGGGUUGUAAAGCUCUUUCACCGGUGAAGAUAAUGACGGUAACCGGAGAAGAAGCCCCGGCUAACUUCGUGCCAGCAGCCGCGGUAAUACGAAGGGGGCUAGCGUUGUUCGGAUUUACUGGGCGUAAAGCGCACGUAGGCGGACUUUUAAGUCAGGGGUGAAAUCCCGGGGCUCAACCCCGGAACUGCCUUUGAUACUGGAAGUCUUGAGUAUGGUAGAGGUGAGUGGAAUUCCGAGUGUAGAGAUGAAAUUCGUAGAUAUUCGGGGGAACACCAGUGGCGAAGGCGGCUCACUGGACCAUUACUGACGCUGAGGUGCGAAAGCGUGGGGAGCAAACAGG
rnacentral:rRNA from 1 species